CUCAUAGGUCGCGUGGUGAUGACGUCGUGCUACAUGCGACGAAGAGCUGUCUUUUUUUUCCACGCUUUAGAAAGUGCAGCCUGCGUGUUUUGUUUUUUUAACUCCUUUCCUGCUCUGUUUAUCUUAAACCAUGGAGACAAAAGGCACAAACCCUGUCGGGAAGAAACGUAAACCCGUGAAGAUGAAAGACGGCACCGACCCCGUCAAAAACUUCGAGAAAUGGAAGAAAAAAUACAACAAGACGAAAGCACAAGUGAAGAGAGAGCGACCGCAGAAGAAGCCCGAGUGGCAGGUCGAACGGGAGUACAUCGACAAGCUCGUUAGCAGGUACGGUGACAUAAACUCCAAUGAGGCUGUUAAGUUCUCAGACUUCCCAAUUUCAAAGAAAACCUUGUUAGGUUUGCAGGGGGCUCAGUACAGACAGCCCACGGAGAUCCAGAGACAGACUAUCGGCUUCGCUUUGCUCGGGAAAGAUGUCCUCGGCGCGGCUAAGACCGGCUCCGGGAAGACGUUAGCCUUUCUCAUCCCGGUGCUGGAGUGUCUGUAUCGCCAGCAGUGGAGCUCCAUGGACGGCCUCGGCGCUCUCAUCAUAUCCCCCACCAGAGAGCUCGCCUACCAGACCUUCGAAGUCCUCCGCAAGGUGGGCAAGAACCACGAGUUCUCCGCGGGGCUCAUCAUCGGCGGGAAGGACCUCAAGAGCGAGUCGGAGAAGAUCCACCGCACCAACAUCGUCAUCUGCACCCCGGGCCGGCUGCUCCAGCACAUGGACGAGACGGCCGCCUUCCACGCCACCGACCUCCACAUGCUGGUCCUGGACGAGGCGGACCGCAUCCUGGACAUGGGGUUCGCCGACACGCUCAACGCCAUUGUGGAGAACCUGCCCAAGUCCCGGCAGACGCUGCUGUUCUCCGCCACGCAGACCAAGUCGGUCAAAGACCUGGCCCGGCUCAGCCUCAAAGACCCGGAGUACGUGUGGGUUCACGAGAAGGCUAAGUUCAGCACGCCGGCCACCCUGGAGCAGAGCUACGUGGUGUGUGAGCUCCACCAGAAGGUCAACAUGCUGUACUCGUUCAUCAGGAGCCACCUGAAAAAGAAGAUCAUCGUCUUUUUCGCUUGCUGCAAGGAGGUGCAGUACCUGUUCCGGGUCCUGUGCCGCCUCAGACCGGGCAUGCCCAUCCUGGCUCUGCAUGGCAAGCAGCAGCAGAUGAAGAGAGUGGAGGUCUACAAUGACUUCCUAAGGAAGCAGAACGCUGUGCUCUUUGCCACUGACAUAGCCGCCAGAGGCCUGGACUUCCCUGCCGUCAACUGGGUGCUGCAGUUUGACUGUCCGGAAGACGCAGACACCUACAUCCACAGGGUGGGCCGGACGGCCCGGUACAAGGAGGGGGGAGAGGCCUUACUGCUGCUGCUUCCCUCAGAGGAGAAGGGCAUGGUUGGCCAGCUGCAAGAGAAGAAAGUUCCAAUCACUAAGAUCCAGGUGAACCCAGACAAACUGCAGAGUGUUCAGCAGAAGCUGCAGGCCUUCCUGGCCCAGGAGAAGGAGCAGAAGGAGAGGGCUCAGCGGUGUUUUGUCUCCUACCUGCGCUCCGUCUACCUGAUGAAGAACAAAGAGGUGUUUGACGUCUUCAAACUCCAGAUUCAGGAGUACGCGGCCUCUCUGGGCCUCGCCGUGGCUCCAAGGGUGCGCUUCCUCAGUAAAGCCCAGGCACAGAGGGCUGAGAAAGACGGCCAGAGAGAGGAGGAGCAGUCUGAAGAAGAAGAGGAGGAGGAGCUGAGGAGCUUCAAGGCCCGGCUGAAAGGAAACGUUCCUCCUGAGGAAAGUCCGAGCUCCGAGUCGGAAGAUUUGGGCGGCGAUGAGGAAAGUGGUGAUGAAGCAGAGGUGGAUCAGCCCAUGAGCCGUCUCCUGGGUGCAGAUGACAACGAGGAUGAGGACGAUCUGAGAGACUUGGACCUGCUGACGGUCAAAAGAAAGGACGUCUUCAGUCUGACGGCGGGCGAGGAGAGUCCCGAAGAACCCGCCGAGGACUCCAGAAAGAAAUCGGAAAAGGAGACAAAGUUCACAGAAGCCAAAAAGGCCCUGAAGAGGAACUUCCAAGUCAACACCAAAGUGGCUUUCAGCGAAGAAGGCGAGGCCGUGCAGCUGUGGCCUCCGGUCCAGCGGGCGGCGGCCGACGACGAGGAGGAAGAAGAGGAGGGGGUUUCGGGUAUCAACAUGGAGAAGGCCCGGGAGAGGCUGCAGCGCGAGGACCAGGAGUUUGACAAGCACGAGUACAGCCGCAAAGUGAAAGCCAAGCACAGGGAGAAGAGGCUGAAGGCGAAGGCGGCCAGGAGGGAGGCCAGCAAGCAGCACGGCCGCAAGUCUGACUCGGAGGACGAGGAGGACGAGGUGGUGGCGUACCUGGCCAAUCACAGCGAAGACGAGUUUGACCCCAGCACCCUGCCGGACCCUGACAAACUGCACUCUGAGGAAGAGGAGGACGAGGCGGGGACAACGGCAGCCAAACGGCAGCACAGCAGCGACAGCAGCGACGAGGAAGAGAAGCAGCUCCCAGUGGGGAAGAGGAAGAAAGUGGGGCGACCGAACGAUGAGCCCACAGCCCUGGACACUGGUCUCUCCCUGGCCGAAGACGAGGAGUUGGUCUUGCAUCUGCUGGGAGGGCGCAGUUAGAGAAAAUGGAGAGGAGUAUGAGGAUUUACAAACAGUAUGACGUUUUCACUUAAAGUUCCAACCACCAAGUCAGUAGUUCAAUGAGAAAACGCAGAAGUACACACGUUUCUGAGUCUGAAUUGUGUUGGAAAAGUGACAAAGUUAAAGGGGUGCACACAAAUUUUUGGGCGUUUCUGCCUUUAUUGGAACGGGAAAGCUGAUAUCUGAAAGGGGAGAGAGAGGGGGGGGGAAGACAUGCAGGAAAACCAUCGCGGGUCGGACUCGCACCCUGGACCUUCUGCGUCGAGGAACA